GAUGAACGCUGGCGGCGUGCCUAACACAUGCAAGUCGAACGGAGUAGAGACUUCGGUUUUUACUUAGUGGCGAACGGGUGAGUAACGCGUGAGAAACCUGCCUUUCAGUGGGGGACAACAGUUGGAAACGACUGCUAAUACCGCAUAAAAUAUCGAAGGGGCAUGCCUUUGAUAUCAAAGAUUUAUGUGCUGAAAGAUGGUUUCGCGUCUGAUUAGCUAGUUGGGGAGGUAACGGCUCACAAAGGCGACGAUCAGUGGCCGGUCUGAGAGGAUGAACGGCCACAUUGGGACUGAGAUACGGCCCAGACUCAUACGGGAGGCAGCAGUGGGGAAUAUUGGGCAAUGGGGGAAACCCUGACCCAGCAACGCCGCGUGAAGGAAGAAGGCCUUAGGGUUGUAAACUUCUUUUACCAGGGACGAAGAACGUGACGGUACCUGGAGAAAAAGCAACGGCUAACUACGUGCCAGCCGCCGCUGUAACAC
rnacentral:rRNA from 1 species